AAAAUGACUCUCGGCAACGGAUAUCUCGGCUCUCGCAUCGAUGAAGAACGUAGCGAAAUGCGAUACUUGGUGUGAAUUGCAGAAUCCCGUGAACCAUCGAGUCUUUGAACGCAAGUUGCGCCCGAAGCCUUCCGGCCGAGGGCACGCCUGCCUGGGUGUCAUGC
rnacentral:rRNA from 4 species